AGUCAAGUAAUUAAGUGCAUGUGGUGGAUGCCUUGGCAGUCAGAGGCGAUGAAAGACGUGAUAGCCUGCGAAAAGCUCCGGGGAGGCGGCAAAUAUCCUUUGAUCCGGAGAUGUCUGAAUGGGGGAACCCACCUACUUUAAGGUAGGUAUUGCAACAUGAAUACAUAGUGUUGCAAGGCGAACGAGGGGAAGUGAAACAUCUCAGUACCCUUAGGAAAAGAAAUCAAUUGAGAUUCCCUCAGUAGCGGCGAGCGAACGGGGAUCAGCCCAUUAAGUUAUGUGUGUUUUAGUGGAACGCUCUGGGAAGUGCGAACGUAGAGGGUGAUAUUCCCGUACACGAAAGGGCACACAUAAUGAUGACGAGUAGGGCGAGGCACGUGAAACCUUGUCUGAAUAUGGGGGGACCAUCCUCCAAGGCUAAAUACUCCUGACUGACCGAUAGUGAACCAGUACCGUGAGGGAAAGGCGAAAAGAACCCCUGUGAGGGGAGUGAAAUAGAUCCUGAAACCGCAUGCAUACAAGCAGUGGGAGCACCUUCGUGGUGUGACUGCGUACCUUUUGUAUAAUGGGUCAGCGACUUAUAUUCAGUAGCGAGGUUAACCGUAUAGGGGAGCCGUAGAGAAAUCGAGUCUUAAUAGGGCGUUUAGUUGCUGGGUAUAGACCCGAAACCAGGCGAUCUAUCCAUGAGCAGGUUGAAGGUUGGGUAACACUAACUGGAGGACCGAACCCACUGUCGUUGAAAAGCCAGGGGAUGACUUGUGGAUAGGGGUGAAAGGCUAAUCAAGCCUGGUGAUAGCUGGUUCUCCCCGAAAGCUAUUUAGGUAGCGCCUCGGACGAAUACCAUAGGGGGUAGAGCACUGUUUCGGCUAGGGGGUCAUCCCGACUUACCAAACCGAUGCAAACUCCGAAUACCUAUGAGUACUAUCCGGGAGACAGACUGCGGGUGCUAACGUCCGUAGUCAAGAGGAAAACAAUCCAGACCGCCAGCUAAGGCCCCAAAAUCAUAGUUAAGUGGGAAACGAUGUGGGAAGGCAUAGACAGCUAGGAGGUUGGCUUAGAAGCAGCCACCCUUUAAAGAAAGCGUAAUAGCUCACUAGUCGAGUCGGCCUGCGCGGAAGAUGUAACGGGGCUAAAACUAUGUGCCGAAGCUGCGGAUGUAUACUUUGUAUACGUGGUAGGGGAGCGUUCUGUAAGCCGAUGAAGGUGUGUUGAGAAGCAUGCUGGAGGUAUCAGAAGUGCGAAUGCUGACGUGAGUAACGACAAAACGGGUGAAAAACCCGUUCGCCGAAAGACCAAGGGUUCCAGUCCAACGUUAAUCGGGGCUGGGUGAGUCGACCCCUAAGGCGAGGCCGAAAGGCGUAGUCGAUGGGAAAAUGGUUAAUAUUCCAUUACUUCUGUGUAAUGCGAUGAGAGGACGGAGAAGGCUAAAUCAGCCUGGCGUUGGUUGUCCAGGUGAAAGGAUGUAGGCAUGUAUCUUAGGCAAAUCCGGGGUACUCUAUGCUGAGAUCUGAUAGCAAGCUGUACUUGUACAGCGAAGUGGUUGAUGCCAUGCUUCCAGGAAAAGUCUCUAAGCUUCA
rnacentral:rRNA from 1 species